GACGAACCGUGCGACCGUUGUUCGGAAUCACUGGGCUUAAAGGGUGCGUAGGCGGGCGCGUCAGUCAGGGGUGAAAUCCCACGGCCCAACCGUGGAAGUGCCUCUGAUACUGCGCGCCUGGAGGGGGAUAGGGGCGUGCGGAACUUCCGGUGGAGCGGUGAAAUGCGUAGAUAUCGGAAGGAACACCGGUGACGAAAGCGGCGCGCUGGAUCCCUACUGACGCUGAGGCACGAAAGCCAGGGGAGCAAACGGG
rnacentral:rRNA from 1 species